rnacentral:rRNA from 1 species
AUACGGAGGGUGCAAGCGUUACUCGGAAUCACUGGGCGUAAAGCGCGCGCAGGCGGCCAUUUAAGUUGGAUGUGAAAGCCUACGGCUCAACCGUAGAACUGCAUCCAAAACUAUUUGGCUAGAGUGUGGGAGAGGAAGAUGGAAUUAGUUGUGUAGGGUAAAAUCCGUAGAGAUAACUAGGAAUACCAAAAGCGAAGGCAAUCUUCUGGAACAUUACUGACGCUGAGGCGCGAAAGCGUGGGGAGCAAACAGGAUUAGAAACCCUAGUAGUCC